UAGGGAAUUUUCGUCAAUGGGGGAGACCCUGAACGAGCAAUGCCGCGUGUGUGAAGAAGGUCUUCGGAUCGUAAAGCACUGUUGUAAGUGAAGAAUGCCAUAUAGAGGAAAUGCUAUGUGGGUGACGGUAGCUUACCAGAAAGCCACGGCUAACUACGUGCCAGCAGCCGCGGUAAUACGUAGGUGGCAAGCGUUAUCCGGAAUCAUUGGGCGUAAAGGGUGCGUAGGUGGCACGAUAAGUCCGAAGUAAAAGGCAACAGCUCAACUGUUGUAUGCUUUGGAAACUGUCGAGCUAGAGUGCAGAAGAGGGCGAUGGAAUUCCAUGUGUAGCGGUAAAAUGCGUAGAUAUAUGGAAGAACACCAGUGGCGAAGGCGGCCACCUGGCCUGUUACUGACGCUGAGGCACGAAAGCGUGGGGGAUCAAACAGGAUUAGAUACC
rnacentral:rRNA from 1 species